AGAGAGGUGUCCGAGUGGUCGAAGGAGCAAGCCUGGAAAGUUUGUGUGCGGGUAACUGUACCGAGGGUUCGAAUCCCUUCCUCUCUGCAA
rnacentral:tRNA from 1 species